UACGUAGGGUGCAAGCGUUAAUCGGAAUUACUGGGCGUAAAGCGUGCGCAGGCGGUUCGCUAAGACAGAUGUGAAAUCCCCGGGCUCAACCUGGGAAUGGCAUUUGGGACUGCAAGGCUUGAGUGCGGCAGAGGAGACUGGAAUUCCUGGUGUAGCGGUGAAAUGCGUAGAUAUCUGGAGGAAUACCGGUGGCGAAGGCGGCAUCCUGGACCGAUAUUGACACUGAUGAGCGAAAGCUAGGGGAGCAAACGGG
rnacentral:rRNA from 1 species